UUUAAUACAAAGGAAAGCAUUCCUCCAACGCUACAGAGUGAACCAGAAACACAACAGGCUUGGAAGAAUAUUUUUCCUUCCAUCUUGGAGACAGAGGAAACCAGGGACGGUUAACCGCUCAGAGAUAGCGGAUCCUGGGGUUCCUCGCCUCCAUCAUCAAUGAAGCCAAUGCCUCUACGCAAGCCCUGUGGAGGAUAUCUGUCUGCGUCCUGUCCGUCUUGCUCCCCUAGAGAACACUGUGGCGAAGUACUUCUCAGCAUAACUGGAUACAAAGCAGUACCCACUUGCUGCUUACUUUGCCAGAACCCAACAUGCCAUUGACACUGUGCUGGAGGCUGAGACAGACAA